UAAACUAUAAAUACAUUCAAUGAAAUAAAUAAUUAUUUAUUACCAUUAAUAAUAUUUCUAUUCAAUUUUUCAAUUUAACCAUUACUAAAUUGAAGCCUCACACCACGGAGUGUCAGCUGUUCGCAUGUCCAUAAACAUAUUUGUCGGUGUGGGAUAUCAUUAUUUUUGUAUGAGUCUUUGAUAUGUAUCAUAUUAUAUGGUGAUGGUAUUGGAUUGGUGUCUUAAAAUGCCAAUAAUACGUACAAUUAUACUCACUUAUUUUACUUAAACUUUGUACUAUAUAUACCUAGAACUCGAUCAAUAUUCACCAACAAUAGCUAUGGGUAUUAUUUUCUUAUGUGGGACACCACAACGCUUCCUCAAUUAUGCUCGAGGAGAAAAAAAAAGUUGCCGGAACAAUUUUUUAUGUCAUUUUUAUUAUUAUUCAUUUUCGUCUAUCUUCUCCGCCAUUUAUGCGCGUAACUUUUCCCCUUCGUUAAAAUAAAUAAAAAAAUGAAAAAAAAACCCGGGAGCAACAAAGUUUCAUCGCGCCGUUUGAAUAUUGUUUUUCAACAUUUUUCAUUUGUACGAAUUGAAAUA